GAGACAGGCAGGGAUUUCAUGAAAUUGGCUCACAAGGUUGUGGGCCAAGCCCAAAAUUUGUGGGGCAAACUAGCAGACUGCAGAUUGAGGUGGGAGUUCAUAUUACUGGUUUGAGCCUGAAAUCUGCAGAGCAGUUCAGUAACUGAAAAUAUAGUCAGGGCAGUCUUGGGGCAGAAUCACUUUUUUGAGAAACCUCAGUCUUUGCUUUUAAUUCCUUCAGCUGAUAGGAUAAAGCCCACCCGCAUUCCACAGGGUAACCUGCUUUACUCAAGGUCUACUGAUUCAAAUGUCAAUCACAUCUAAAAAUAUAGUUACUUUCAUAGCAACAUCUGGACUGGUGUUUGACCAAGCAAGCAGAUAAUAUAACCUAGUCCCCUAACCCUAACCCUAACCCCUAACCCCUAACCCUAACUGACAUCAAAUGAACCAUUACAGGGUUGUAUCAAUUUACACUUUUACCAACACCUUUUGAGAGUUCACAGUGUUACCAACUCUUGUAAUUUUAUCAAUUUGUUUAGUGUGAACUAAUACUUCAUAUUAAUUUGUAUUUCCAUGACAGAGAACUGAACAUACUUUUUGUCUUUUGCUUAUUGCUUUUUUCUUCUGCUUUUCCAUACAGCCCAACGUGUUAAGUUUUCUUACAUUUGGUCUUUGUCCAAGUUCCUCUGUUGUGUCCUAUGUUUGUCAAGAUUUUGGUUGAAUGUAACUGAAACUAGCCUAAGGGAAAAAAACAAUCUAAUUAUAGGUUCUGUUUUCAUUUUUGUUUCAACAGUGUGCAUGUUGGUGAGGAAACUGUUGUUUUGGAGUCAUUCACUACUGGAUGAAAGAAAUUUGGAAGGGAGGUUAUCACUGUGCUGUCUUACUUCCACCAAUACCUGGUGUGCAGGUGUGUGAAUGAAGUCAGACGUUGGGACAAGACUGGAGAAUUCACAAACUAACAUUCUAUCAACAUGAAACUGACAAUAUUUGAUUGAACUUUUAAAACUCUAGAGCUGCAUAGACCUAUUAUUUCUAAACAAAUAAAAAUAUUUUUUUUCUAUUAACUUUUUUCCUUCAUCUAAAAUUCUUAGGUCUAGAAAAUAUGCUUGUUAAGAGAAUUCUAAUUCCCUGGUUAUAUAGAGAAUAUCUGAGAACUAUUCAAACACCAAUGCUUUCCUUCAAAAAGAAAUUAAACAGGAAAUAGAAAAGGUUUUAGUCAUUAUUAUUUAAAUUGCUGUAUCUCUUAGCUAAUUCACACAGGAAGCCUAAAAAUUAAGCAGCAUGAAAAUGUGAUGAGUCACUAGCAUAUU
rnacentral:lncRNA from 1 species